rnacentral:tmRNA from 1 species
GGGGUUGACUGGAUUUGACAGCGGGAUGAAAUGGUACGUAAGCACGCGGAGACUCGUUCGCGCUCUCCUAAAUCAGAGUGAACAAAAAAUUAAUUGGCGCAAACAAUUACGCUCUCGCUGCCUAAUCGAAGCAUAGUAGAUUACUGGCUUAAUCCCCUUACUAGGUAGGGGGACGAGACAUCGCUCCGAGGAUGUUGUUCCGAAUCCGGAGAUCAAGCGGUGCAGGUUAAAUCGGAAAUAGCGUCUGCAGGCCUCGCUGCUGGCGUGAAACUUUAGAGGAUAAGGUUGUGGUUGGUGGUCCAGGUCUUGCCGCAACACGAAAACCGAAGGCUGGAAUAAGCGUGUAGAAAGCGUAUGGUUUCCCUGUUUGGACGCGGGUUCGACUCCCGCCAGCUCCACCA